AGGACAAACGCUGGCGGCGUACCUAAGACAUGCAAGUCGAACGGGCGCCUUGCUUUCGGGCAAGGAUGCGAGUGGCGGAUGGGUGAGUAACGCGUAGGAACCUGUCCUUUUGUGGGGGAUACCAGUGGGAAACCGCUGCUAAUACCGCAUAAGGUCACCAUGGGAGACUGUGGUGAAGAAAGGCGAAAGCCGCAGAAGGAGGGGCCUGCGUCCGAUUAGCUGGUUGGUGGGGUAACGGCCUACCAAGGCAUCGAUCGGUAGC
rnacentral:rRNA from 1 species